UUGAUUGCUGAAAUAGGGCCCCUGAUUAUCUUUGGAAAAAGCUACUUGAUUGAUCUUUUGGGAUAAAAUCAAAGAAGCUACAAAUAAUCUCUGGCAAAGAUACCAAAUCAGAGGUCUUUCCUCCCAAAUGAAUGCCCUGACUACUGAGGUGGAGGUGCUCUCAGAAGGAGCAUGGCAGGAGGCAAAUAUCAGUACAGCACUGCAUGGACAUCUGACAUCUUGCUGUCUCUCUUUCUCCAGGUUCACAGGCAAAAGCCUCUCUGGGAGUCAGGAUGGCUGAAGGAUGC